UAACGAAUAUUCCGCAAUGGGCGCAAGCCUGACGGAGCGACGCCGCGUGGAGGACGAAGUCCCUCGGGAUGUAAACUCCUUUUAGGGUUAGGAAAGUGAUGCGCGCUAAUAUCGCGCAAAGCGGAUCCAUCCCAGAAAAAGCAUCGGCUAAUCCCGUGCCAGCAGCCGCGGUAAUACGGGAGAUGCGAGCGUUGUUCGGAAUCACUGGGCUUAAAGCGCGUGUAGGCGGCUCGGUAAGUACCUUGUGAAA
rnacentral:rRNA from 1 species